AAUCCUUAAAACUCCCCCAUUUGUGUACAAAAACUUAUUAAUAGACAUGGGACCAAAAGGAGCCUAUGGCACCAAUACCCACUUACGGUUGAAUAACAUUUCCUCUAUCACACAGAAAAGAUCCAUUUUUCCCCAUUAUAAUUAACAUUUUCACUAUUAUUCUUUCAGAAUGAAAGAAUCCAGGGAAUUAAAUAUAAAAGAAAGGAUACAGGAAGUACUGCUUGGUCAUUCUGUCCAACUUAGUCUCAGGAAAUAUGUUUUUUUACAUUAUGCAAAGAUGCUUUUAGAUAAUUUAAACAAUACCAUUGAUAGCCCUUUCUUUAUGAUUUCUUUUUUAGGUUGCCCCUCAUAUGGACAAUUUCAAUUUAUUUAAAACCCAGUUAUUCAUUAUUAAUAUUGACCAAAUCAUUAACGGAUAUAAUAUCAAAAUAUUGAAUCCAUUCACUUUACAACCUUAGCAAAUAGAAAAAGAUCUUGG
rnacentral:misc_RNA from 1 species